GUGACAAGAAAUAACAAUACAGGACUUUAAAGUUUUGUAAUUGGAAUGAGUUAAGUAUAAACCCCUUUACAAGUAUCAAUUGGAGGGCAAGUCUGGUGCCAGCAGCCGCGGUAAUUCCAGCUCCAAUAGCGUAUAUUAAAGUUGUUGCAGUUAAAAAGCUCGUAGUUGGAUUUCUGUUAAUAAUUUUUAUGUAUGCAAUAUAUAGUUAAAAAUAUGUAUUGUUGUAUGUAAUAUUAACAUAAUUCAUAUUACUAUAUGGUGGAUUGGUGAAGUUUUUUACUUUUUUCCAGUCACACCGGGAAUUAUGGUAUAUGAAAUUUUACUUUGAGAAAAUUAGAGUGCUUAAAGCAGGA
rnacentral:rRNA from 1 species